AGGAUUUUGCUUGGCAUCAAGGAACAGUGCAAACUAGAAGAAACCCCCGUCAUCAGCGACCUCUCCCCAACGGCGCCGACGAUGGCGCAACAGCAGACGCAGCUAACCACUGGCUCGGGCAUCCUGGAUGCCGUCCCGCUCUUCGUCGUCAUCCUCCUCGCGGCCCACGUCCUGGCCCUCGUGUUCUGGAUGUACAAGCUGGCUUCCGAGAAGCAACCACCCCGGAGGAAGACACAGUGACGGCGCCGAUCUACGCCAUCGGCGAUCCUUCGCUAGCCUCUUUAUCGGUUCCAUUUUCAUGUGAACCAGUACCCUCCAGAACAUUCAGGCCGUCAAUUAUUCAGA
rnacentral:misc_RNA from 1 species